rnacentral:rRNA from 1 species
AGAUGUUGGGUUAAGUCCCGCAACGAGCGCAACCCUGGUCCUUAGUUGCCAGCAUUCAGCUUGGGCACUGCCAAGGAGAACUGCGCGGUGACAAACACGGAGGAAGGUGGGGAUGACGUCAAAUCAUCAUGCCCCUUAUGACCUGGGCUACACACGUGCUACAAUGGAUGGUACAAAGGGUUGCGAGACCGAGAGGUUGAGCCAAUCCCAUAAAGCCAUUCUCAGUUCGGAUUGUAGGCAGCAACUCGCGGACAUGAAGCUGGAAUCGCUAGUAAUCGCGGAUCAGCACGCCGC